rnacentral:rRNA from 1 species
CAGCAGCCGCCACGGGAAUACAGAGGGUGCGAGCGUUAAUCGGAUUUACUGGGCGUAAAGCGUGCGUAGGCGGCUUUUUAAGUCGGAUGUGAAAUCCCUGAGCUUAACUUAGGAAUUGCAUUCGAUACUGGGAAGCUAGAGUAUGGGAGAGGAUGGUAGAAUUCCAGGUGUAGCGGUGAAAUGCGUAGAGAUCUGGAGGAAUACCGAUGGCGAAGGCAGCCAUCUGGCCUAAUACUGACGCUGAGGUACGAAAGCAUGGGGAGCAAACAGGAUUAGAGACCCGAGUAGUCCCUGUCUCUUU